CCACGAGGGUUAACAUCGGAGCGAAUAGGAAGGGAAGAAAACCCGGAUAUGAAGCGAAAACGAAGGACCAAACAUAUAGCAGGAGUCACCUAGGAAAGGCUAGAGUUAAACUGUUGGGACCCGAAAGAUGGUGAACUAUGCUUGUGGUGUUUAAAGCCGAAGGAAACUUUGGUGGAAGGAUUUAGGAGUGUUAACGUGCAAAUUACUUGCAAUAUAUGAGUAUAGGGGCGAAAGACUAAUCGAAUUAUCUAGUAGCUGGUUCCACCUGAAUAUUCCCUUAGGAAGGUUGAAGUGAGGAAGUAUUGACGAUUCGUAAAGAUGAUGAUUGCACAUGAUGGACAGUUUGAUUUUUCAACAUUUUAACAAACUAUGAAUAGUCGAGAAAUUCAAAAAUAUACUAAUUUAUUAGGAGUGAGCAUAUGGGACUUCAAAUCGGCCAAGUCUGGUAAGCAGGACUGGCGAUGCGGGAUAAACCGAACAUACAGAUAAAUUAUUUAAGGCUUGCAUGAGGAGAACCAUUGAAAAUAUUUAUUCAUAUUGACAGGAAAUUUGCCAUUGAAAUUGUAAAUUUUUAGAAAAGUGUAACAACUCAUUUACCGAAUGGAUGAGCCCUGAAAAUGGAAGGUAUUAUAAUGAGAGAGGUGAUAUUGUAUUUUUGUGGAGGCUGAGGCACACGAGGAGUAAGGAAAUACAUGGUGUCAAGAAUACGUGAGUGAUAAAGGUCGAGAAGUAAUUUCUAUUGAAACAGACUUGAGUACAGAUCUUGG
rfam:Entamoeba invadens IP1 unplaced genomic scaffold scaff_1105074725109, whole genome shotgun sequence.